CGUCUGCAUGCAUUUUACGACAUUUCGCCGUGCAUGUGAUUUGCAUAUCGGAUCAUGUAAAAUGCCAACUCUCAAGUGCCAAUGAUUGCAGAAAAUAGUUAGCUAGAGUCGUUAUCAAUCGUUGUUUUUUUAGGUGCUUGUGUUUGUCUUGUUCCUUUAUAAACCUUAUCACACUGCGUCUGGUGUGGAGAGAGGAAUAGCAGACCGUAGACAGUGGGAUAGGUGUGCAGUUGCAACAACAAGCUUUGGAUCGUGUGAGAUGUUUUUUUUUCUUUAUAUCAAAUCAAACCAACAGCUUCAAUUGCUACCUGCAGAAGCAAACAAAACUGUUGUUCAUAGAAUAACAUAACAGACUUCGUUGGUUUGCAUCCUCUGGUUUUACCCGCACCCUUUCUGUUCAGAUACAGUUCAGAGAAAAUGGCGGAACUUGAGAAGGAAGGACUGAACCAAACAAUGCACGAGAACCGAGAUGAAGAUGAGCCCCAUUAUACUGAUGACUCUAAAACAAGCAAGAUUCAGGACGACGCAAGUUUCGAGGAAAAGCUAAUUGAAGAGGUCAGAAGGUACAACAAUUUGUACAACACCUCAUUGAAAGACUAUAAAGACUUCACAAUAACCAGCAACAGCUGGAAGGAGAUAGCCCAAACUCUGAGAGUAGAAGAACAGGUUUGCAGGACGAAAUGGAAGAAAUUGAGAGACCGAUAUGUCAGACUGAGGAGGAAAAUUAAGGGGAAGAGUGGGGGUGCAGCAUCGGGAAUACAAACACAAAUACUCACCACACUGUCCUGGCUGUCUGGCUUUAUAAAACACAAGGAGACGAAGUCAGCCUAUCCACAGGAAGAGAUGGACACCUCAGAAGACCUGCAAGAUGACAACCUGAUCGAGGGGGAACACUUCCACAGUUCUAAUAAUGAGCAGCAAGAUGGAAAUUUGGCAGUUAGGAGGAAUGUAAUAUUAGAACGAACAAAAUUCAACCAAAGACAACAAGAAGCAGGAGAGAGAGCUGAUGAUUUUAUCUCAGCACUUCAUUGUUUGUCAGAACAUUGUGGUUAUGGAGCUCUGCUCAGUGAGAUGAUAAGAGACCGACUAGUCGCAGGCUUACUUGACAGGAGACUGUCCAAGCAAUUACAAAUGGACCCAGAACUCACACUGGAUAAAGCUGUCGCACGCAUUCGUCAAACUGAAAUUGUGGAAAAGCAACAGGACCUGCAGGAGAAUAUCUUCAAAGCUGCCAGCAGCACGGAAAAUGAAGACCGUGUGCUUUCAUGUAGAAAACAUCAAUGCCCAGCCAAUGUCCAGUGCCAAUCAGAGAAGAAUCAAAACUCAGAAAGACCACAACAACACCAAACAAUGCAGAAGAAUGCAGGAGAUCCCCUAGAUACUGAUGACACUGAUGGCUUCAGUACUGGAGGAGAAAAGCCUCACUACUGCGCCUACUGCGGUAGGAGCUUUCAAAAAGUGAGGGAUCUUAUAAGACACCAGCGAACGCAUACCGGAGAGAAGCCUCACCACUGCCCUGAUUGCGACAGAAGUUUUGCUCGAUUAGAUAAGCUUAAAUUACAUCAGCGAACACAUACUGGAGAGAAGCCUCACCACUGCCCUGAUUGCGACAGAAGUUUUGCUCGAUUAGAUAAGCUAAAGAUCCACCAAGAAAUACAUAUAGGAGUGAAGCCUCACAACUGCCCUGAUUGCAACAGAAGAUUUGCUCGAUUAGAUAAGCUUAAGUCACACCAAAAAAUACAUGCAAAAGACAAACACAUAUUUCAUUCCUCUGACUGUGUGAAAAGCUUUGUCUUAUUGGAGAAGCUUGAAAAACACCAGCUGGACAAUACCUUCAAAGCUACCAGCAGUGCAUCCAAUGUAGAUCGUGUGCUCACACAGCAGAGAACAUUCAGCAAAGUCAGAGAGAGUAAAAGGCAGCAGAGUAAAAUACGAGCUAGAGCUCCAGGAAAGAGAGCACCAACACAUAGCAAAAAAAUGCAGGAGAAGGAAGAGGAGCCCCUAGAUACUGAUGACUCUGAUGAGUGGAUCGAAGGUUUCAGUCCUGGAGGAGAGAAGCCUCACUACUGCUUUGACUGCGGUAAGAGCUUUAGAAAAGUGAGGGAUCUUAUAAGACACCAGCGAACGCAUACGGGAGAGAAACCUCACCACUGCCCUGUUUGUGACAGAACUUUCGCUAGAUUAGACAAACUUAAAUUACACCAAGAAAUACAUACAGGAGUGAAGCCUCACCACUGCCCUGAUUGUGAGAGAAGUUUUGCUCGAUUAGAUAAUCUUAAAUUACACCAAAAAAUACAUAUAAAAGAGGAACAUAAUGUUACACUGAACCAUCAAACUGAAAUGAAUGUAGACUGUGUGCACACACAGCAGGGAACAGCCAGCAGAGGCAGGCAGAAGAGUAAAAUGCGAGCUAGUGCACCAGGGGAAAAAAUGGGCCAGUCACAUCCAGGCAAAUACUCCCCUUACGAAAGUUCAGUUCGAAAGAAUCGACACUCAGAAAAACUGCGACUACCCCAAACUACGCAGGAGAAUGAAGAGGAUCUUGAAGAUACUUCUGAUAACUGGACAGAGAGUUUCAGUACUGUAGAGAAGCCAUACAUCUGCUCCGACUGCGGUAAGAGCUUCAGACUAGAGAAUCGUCUUAUAAGACAUCAGCGAACACAUACAGGAGAGAAGCCUUACGACUGCCCUGACUGUGACAAAAGUUUUGCGCGAUUAGAUCAUGUUAAGUCACACCAAAAAACACAUAUGAAGGAGGAACGUAAUUUCCGCUGCUCUGACUGUGUGAAAAGCUUUGUCCGAUUGGAACAGCUUGAAAAACAUCAGUUAACACACAAGAAAAGUUACCGCUGUUCAAAGUGUGAUGAAAGGUUUUCAGACCUGGUUGACUGGAAAGCACACUUUUUAGUACACCGAGAGAUCCUCCACUGUCCUGACUGUAACAAGCAGUUCUUGUACAAGGGACUUUUUGAAAGACACAGGAGAACACAUUUGAGAAAAAGAGAGAAAUUUCUCUGCACAAUAUGUGGAAAGGAGAUUCACAACUUUAAAAUACACAUGCGAGUACACACUGGAGAGAAACCAUAUCACUGCACUGAGUGUGGGAAGAGUUUUGCAUAUACAAAAUCGUACAAAUCACAUAUACUAACACAUACCUCUGGUGAAAGAGCAACCUAUCCUUGUUUGGAAUGUGGAAAGACUUUUACUCGCAUAGAUGGCAUGGUGAGACACGUGAGGAGGGUUCAUACUGGAGAGAGAAAUCAUCAGUGCGGAGACUGUGGAAAACGAUUCUUUCGAAAAGAGUCACUAAAGAGACACAGUCUUGUUCACACUGGAGAGAAACCAUACCAAUGCUCUAUCUGUGGGCAACGCUUCUCCCAAGAUGGCGACAGAAAACGCCACGAGAAGAGGCACUACUCUGGUGUCUCAGAGUUCCUCGAUCUAUAAUGCAGAAGUGGUGUUUGGUAUUGCAGGAACCCACCCAAUCAAUGUGAUUUCUAACCAGGUGGCCUGGAAUUGCCACCACAGACUAGAAAAUACACAUAGACAGACUUCUGCUGAUACACAAGUCUGAGUAUUACUGUUUUCAUGGAAGUAUUUCUUUUUUUCAAAAGUCUUAUUUUAAAUGUGUUUUAAUAUUUUGUUUCAACAACUAUCAAUAGUGGUCAUUGUUAAAUUAUGGGCCUUCCCCAUUGGAGAUUUUUAGUCAGCUAUAUUGUAUUAAAGAUGCACAAUGCAGAAAUCUCUCCACCAUUUUCCUGGUUGCUGAAAUUCAAAUAGUUUGGCUAAUUUAAAUUUAUGUGACAAAACAAGCAAGUAUAGUGUACAAUGGUACCAUCUAUACCGUUGUGAAAUAUAUUUUCCAGAACAAAAAAUAUUGUACUUUCAGCCGGUGUACAAAAGUGAAAGACAGAACAGGAAGCAUAGAAAUGGCGCACAUAGAACAUAUCUACCGCUUCUUAGACUUGCUUUUGAUGAGUGACAGAUCUAUAACACACAUUUAUAUGUGAAUUUGGUCAGGUCGCUCAAAAAGUUAUAUAUUGCAGCUUUAAUGUUGAUAUUUUGUUUAUCAGCUACUUUGAAAAGAUGCCAAUGAAAGGUUCCCAACUACAACCUUCGGGUGAAUACAUUUGUCUGAAAUUUGCUCUUAAGUUGCAGAGGUCAAACAAAUUCUCCAGCUGGCUGCCACCUAUGAGAGAUCAGCGACCCGGAGUUAGGACAAGGCAGGGUGGGCAUCUACAGGUCAGAUACACCACUGAACUCUACAGACAAAGCCCAAUACCUUGCCUGGCUACCCAUUGACAUCAAUCCAGCCAACUGACGUUUCUUCUCCACGAUGAGUCUGGAUUUGCCUUAGAAUGUGAACACAUUCUGACCUUUCUGAUUGGUCCCAGAAAUUGAUAGGUUGGGCCAGCGCCGGCCUGCAUGAUGACGUUAUCAACUUUUAUACUUUGCGUGGUUAAGAUUUGUUAGACUAUCCAAUAACUGAUGAAUUAGUUUGUACAAUGCUUCUCAUUUUGAAGUCACACAAAUAACUUCUAGGAUGGCAACGCCUUCAGAAAGUGCAUACCCCUUGACUUAUUCCACAAUCUGUUGUUACAACCUAAAUUCUAAAUGGAUUUUUUUUCUCAUCCAUCUACACACAUUACCCCAUAAUGACAAUGUGAAGACAUGUUUUUUGAAAUGUUAAGUAUUCACACUCCUUUGCGAUGACACCAAAUUGAGUUCAUGCGCAUCCGAUUUCCUUCGAUCAUCCUUGAGGUGUCGCUGCAACUUAAUUGGAAUCCACCUGUGGCCAAUUACAUUUUUUGGACAUGAUUUAGAAAGAAACACACCUUUCUUAAGGUCCCACAGUUGACGUUGCUUGUCAAAGCAGAAACUAUACAAUAAAGUCCAAGGAACUGUCUGUAGAUCUCCGAGAGAGAAUUGUGAUCAGGCAUAUAUCUGGGAAAGGGUACUGUAUAAAACUAUUGCUAGAGUGUUGAAAGUUUAAGAGCACAGUGGUCUCCCUCAUUGGGAAAUUUAAAAAAUGUGGAACUACCCAGACUGCCGAGAGCUGGCCAUCCGACCAAACUGAGCAACCGGGCUAAAGGACCUUGGUCAGGGAGGUGACCCAAUGACCACUCUGACAGAACUACACAGUUCCUUGACUGAGAUGGAAAAACCUGUCAGAAAGACAACGGUCUCUACAGACUUUACCAACCUGGGAUUUACGGGAGUGGCCAGACAGAAGCAACUCCUGAGAAAAGGGCACAUAACAGCACCCCUGGAGUUUGCAAAAAAGCAUGUGAUCGACUGAGAGAAUAAGUCAAAAGAUGCUCUGGUCUGAUGAGACAAUUUUUACUCUUUGACCUCAAAUGCAAAGCGCUAUCUCUGGAGAAAACCAGGCACAACUCAUCACCCAUCUCUACCGUGAAGCAUGAAUGGCAGCAUCAUGCUGUGGGGAUGCUAUUCAGCGGCAGGGAUUGGGUGUCUUGAAAGGAUGGGGGAGCAAUGAAUGGAGCCAAAUACAGGCAAAUCCUUGAUGAGAAGCUGUGCAAAUAACCUUAGACUGGGGGUGAAGAUUUAUGUUCCAACAGGACAAUGACCCCAAGCAUACAGCCAAAGCAAUGCUGGAAUGGCUUCAGAACAAGACUGAAAGUCCUUGAGUGGCCCAGACUUGAAUCCCAUUGAAAAUCUGUGGAAAGACUUUAAGAUUGCUGUUCAAUGCCAUUCCCCAUCUAACUUGAGGUUGAGAAAAUCACCAAAUCCAGAUGUGCCACGCUAAUACAUACAUACCCAACACGACUCAAAGAUGUAAUCGCCGCCGAAGGUGCUUCUACAAAGUAUUAACUCGGGGGUGUGAAUUAUAAUGUAAAUUAGAUAUUUAAUUUAAUAAAUUUUCUAAAAACAUGUAUUCACUUUUGUCAUUAUGGUGUAGAUGGGUGUGAAAAAUAAAUACAUUGGAAUUCAGGCUGAAACACAAUGUGGUCAAGUGGUAUCAAUACUUUCUGAAGCCAAUGUAUGUAGCGAUGAAUAGAGCAGUGGAAUUAGGUUCAGGGUGUCGCCAGGCAACCCAAUACCAUCAUUAGUAAGGCUUUUAAAUGUCACUAGAUGGGGGACAUGUUCGCAUUAAAAAAAUGUUUUGUGUGUUUUUGCUUUUAAUCAUGUUCAUAUUUGUAUAUUGUUGUUCCCUCUGUGUUAUACAAUCUGCCUUGCAAACUAUAAUUUUUAAUAAAAGAUAAGUGGGCAUAGUUCAAAUGUUGGGGAGACUCUCUUUGGCUGUGUUUACACAGGCAGCCCAUUUCUGGGGUGCAUUCAGUUAUUUCAACGGUUUGUGCUGAAUGACAUGUUUUCCCAAAACGGUGCACACCGUUCAACAGCAAUUCAGUACAGUACUGUUGGAGUUUAACCUCUGGGAUCGGUGCCCCCCGAGCGGGACGGUUAAGCUAAUGUGAUUAGCAUGAGGUUGUAAGUAACAAACAAAAAAAAAUCAGGCAGAAAGCUUAAAUUCUUGUUAAUCUAACUGCACUGUCCAAUUUACAGUAGAAGAAUAUCAUGCUAUUGUUUGAGGAGAGUGCACAAUUAUGAACUUAAAUGUAUUAAUAAACCAAUUAGGCACAUUUGGGCAGUCUUGAUACAACAUUUUGAACAGUAAUGCAUUGGAUCAGUCUAAAACUUUGCACAUACUCUGCCAUCUAGUGGCCAAAAUCUUCAAUGCGCCUGGGCUGGAAUAGUACAUUAUGGCCUUUCUCUUGCAUUUCAAAGCUGAUGGUACAAAACUUUUUCCUUUCCCUGAUGGUACAAAACUGUUUCCUUUCAAAUGGUAUCAAGAAAAUGCAUAUCCUUGCUUCAGGUCCUGAGCUACAGGCAGUUAGAUUUGGGUAUAUCAUUUUAGACUAAUUGAAAAAAUGGUCAGAUCCUUAAGAGGUCUUAAUUAAACCACAGAUUAUCAGUUAUAUUGACAAGAUACUCAAGUGACCGCUCUAACAAUGAAAAUAAAUGUCUUCAAAAAUAGAAGGCUCCUGAGUCGCACAGCAGUCUAAGGCAUUGCAUCUCAGUGCCAGAGGCAUCACUACAGACACCCUGGUUCGAAUCCAGGCUGUAUCACAACUGGCCGUGAUUGGGAGUCCCAUAGGGCGGCGCACAAUAGGCCCAGCGUCAUCUGGGUUUAGCCUUUGUAGGCCGUCAUUGUAAAUAAGAAUUUGUUCUUAACUGACUUGCCUAGUUAUAUAAAAUAAAAGGCAUUCGGGAGGAGGCAAAAUCAGGUGGACCAUUCUAGCCAAAUUAGAGGACAGAUAAGCAUGUCAACAGGCACAACCGAUGUGUUUUUUCUAAGAGUUCCUGGGAUGUCACAUGUCCUACUUAUACCAGUACACUUAUAACAACUAGGGACCAUUACAAAAAUUAGACCAAAUAAGCCAUUACAUUUUUUUGUUAACGAAAUUCGACACUCAUAGACCGCUAUACAAAAACUCACCUGCUGGAGAACACCGAUUUUGGGCCCAGUUAUCCCUCUCGCUUUGUCUCUUCCUCUCCAUACUGAACACACCCCAGAAUUGGUCUGCCUAUGUAAGUCCAGCCUUUUAAUAGUAAAUCUGUAGUCAUUCUCCAGCCAUUACUGUAUUCUUAUAGAUGGCACGGUAUAUAAGAGUAUAAUCCAAAUGUCUUACCAGUAAAACAAACAGAAAGGAAACACCAACAUGUAGAAGAGAGAUCAGCGUCACUAAAUGACCAGUGUUGGGUUCCUUGGUUUUUAUUACAAAAUAAUGAUUUCCCACAAUUAACAGUACAUAUUUAGCCAAAACAAAGAACGGAAACAGCCAGCGGUUGGCAAUGGAUGACUAACAGUGUUUACUCCAGAACAGACCACAGCAGAGAAAACAGGAGUUAACUACAGCAGGGGUGGCCAAUCUGACCCUAGGCUUUGUUCCAGUCAAGCAGUCUGAUUCAACAAGCCCAUGAAUCAUGAUCUUUAUUAAAGACUGACUAGAUGAAAUGGGUGUAUUGCUAGAAAAAAAAACUGCACCCACAGACCUUUUGUGGAUAAGAUUGGUCACCCUGAACUACAACAUUCUAGUCAUAUGCCUGCUGCCUUUCAAGUCGCUGUUACAAUCAAUUUGAGUGAUCACGGAACUCCCAGUGCCGUCUGUCGCUGAUACGUCCCCACCAGUCCUCACCCACACAUCCCUUAACUCCACAUCACGCUCACAAGGAUGCAACGUUCUGAAUGUUGCAGGUAAAUUGUAGAGAUAUGAAUCCCUAUUUUACUACAUGACAGAACUAAUGUCUGUUUCACAUUAAAUAAAAUGUCGCUCCAGUCCUCUUUGUAUUGUCAUUAGGAGAUUGAAUCAGAUCGAUUGGCCAAAACCACCUUUCCCUGAGUUUGACACAGGCCAUGGACAACUGAAGUCUAAAGCACAGAAACAGAAGGCAUAGAACAGGACAGAACUCUCAUCUCAUAACUUAAGCUGCUAUUUAUCAGUGUGAUUUAACUCCUAAGCCCAAACCUCUACCCACAGACAGUCGUUUAAUAAGGUGUCCUAAUCAGUACAAACAU